UACGUAGGGCGCAAGCGUUGUCCGGAAUUAUUGGGCGUAAAGAGCUCGUAGGCGGCCUGUUGCGUCCGCUGUGAAAUCCCGGGGCUUAACCCCGGGCUUGCAGUGGAUACGGGCAGGCUGGAGGCAGGCAGGGGAGAACGGAAUUCCCGGUGUAGCGGUGAAAUGCGCAGAUAUCGGGAGGAACACCGGUGGCGAAGGCGGUUCUCUGGGCCUGUACUGACGCUGAGGCGCGAAAGCUAGGGGAGCAAACAGG
rnacentral:rRNA from 1 species